ensembl:lncRNA
CCACAACUGGUCACCAUAUACAAGGGUGUGUGUGGACAAGGAGCCCUCAGAGAGGUGGACAAGGAGCCCUCAGAGAGGUGGACAAGGAGCCCUCAGAGAGGUGGACAAGGAGCCCUCAGAGAGGUGGACAAGGAGCCCUCAGAGAGGUGGACAAGGAGCCCUCAGAGAGGUGGACAAGGAGCCCCAUCAGAGAGGUGGACAAGGAGCCCUCAGAGAGGUGGACAAGGAGCCCCAUCAGAGAGGUGGACAAGGAGCCCUCAGAGAGGUGGACAAGGAGCCCCAUCAGAGAGGUGGACAAGGAGCCCUCAGAGAGAUGGACAAGGAGCCCUCAGAGAGGUGGACAAGGAGCCCUCAGAGAGGUGGACAAGGAGCCCUCAGAGAGGUGGACAAGGAGCCCUCAGAGAGGUGGACAAGGAGCCCUCAGAGAGGUGGACAAGGAGCCAUCAGAGAGGUGGACAAGGAGCCCUCAGAGAGGUGGACAAGGAGCCAUCAGAGAGGUGGGCAUGGGCCCAGAGCGAGAGAGAGAUCUGUUUUUGGUGACAUCAACAACAACAAAGAAUCCCACUGCUUGUAUUCUAGCCUGCAGAGUUAUCGAUCCACAUGCCCUGCACCACCAGAUUAAUGAGGAAGGGUCCAUUACACACAAACACAUGACCACACACACACUACAUCACAGAUGAAGAUGCAAUACUUACACAAGAUAG